AGGAGACGGAUACCAGGUUUCCAUUAACUGCUGCUCAUAUCAACUAUGUUAAGGUGAUUGUUAAAGAAGAAGCCUCUUUAGACUACAGACCUCGUGUUGACCUCCAUGACCCAAAGCCCUCCCACAUAAAAGAGGAACAGAAGGAAGUCUACAUCAGUCUGCCAGGAGAGCAGCUCAAUGGGAAGGAGGUGAUUAAUGCCAUGAGGUUUGCAGUGGCUGCUCCUCCUAUAAAGAGUCUGGAUGAUGAACAAUCUCUGCUGCUCUCACAGCUUUAUCCAGACCAAAUUGAAGGCAGAGAGUUUCCAGAAGAGAAUGAUGGAGAAGAAUCCUUCAGGAUACAAGAUCAUGGAGGUGCUUCCAUUACUUUAGAGACCGAAGACAUUGAGAAGGAUGAAGAGGACAGUGAUGUAGAACACGCUCUGUCUGAGCUAAAACACUUGUCAGACUCUGGGGACAAAAAAAGUUCUACAGAGAAGAAAGAUGUGGAGUCACGAAGGAAAGUUCGGACAGGAACG